UACCUAUCUCUCAUUUUGGAUGAGAAAUACUAAGUCCUAUCACAUUCAUAAUGGCAAUCAAAUUUCGCAUAAAGAUUGUUUGUAUAGAAUUCAUCUUCUACACCCUCUUGUAUAGUAUUUAUCUUGAAGUUCAGAUAGUCCACGAGUGCGAUGCUCGCAUUCCAUGAAGAUACAACACUCUGAUAGGCUAGUGAAAGUAAAGGUCUUUUGCCAAGACAUACA
rnacentral:lncRNA from 1 species